UUUACAAAAGGUAAACAGUCACGGCAGGUAGACUUUCAUGUGGGGGCCACACAAGGUGGGAGGCAUAGGCUAGUUGGACAGCACUACAUUAGAUGAUCAGUCCUACCAAGGAUAAGCCAUAGCACGUCAUUAUGAAAGACUAUUCUGUUAAAACACACAUAAAUAUAAAGGGUUUCAUAAAUUAGAAAUGCACACUACCAUCUGUAUUAUUUCUGCUUCAAAAUAAUCUGUAUCCAUUAGGCUAGGCAAAUCAAGAAUGUGCAAAUGGCUCUUUUUAUAAGGAAGUGGCCAUUUUAUCUGUUCUACCACUACAUCCACUUGAACUGUAACUUUAGUUCAUUUUAUGGUACUGUUCGCUUUUAGGGUUUUCCAUAGGAUAAAGUAUACAGGCUAUGGCUAUAGGUUGUUGAAAGAAGGGGUGCAUAUCUGGUGCUUACUUUAGGGGCGGGUAAAUAGAGUGUGAUGCUGAAGCCAAAGGACUUCUAGCCCUCUGCUAUAAGGCUUUCAGUAUUGUGAUACAUACAGUAUAUCUGAAUCCCAAUGUCUCUUCAUCCAGGGAUGGUGCUCUACAUCAAUAACUAGGAGAAGGAAACGUGAUUGGUAAACAUGUGCUAACCUCUUGGUGUUCAUCCUUUGGAAGGGAACAUGUAGAUAUAAAUGUAAAUAUUAGAUCACACAGUGGCAGUUGCUUUGCCCCUUAGCCAGUUUUGGCUUAAUGAACUGGCACCUUGUGGUUUGUAUGAGUCUUGAGCUGUUGUAGCCCUGACUUGUGCUGGUUAUCAGAAAACUCACAUUCAAAGUUCUCCUUAGAUCAGUCAUCUUUCCCUUAUGUUGGCUAGUCAAUAAUACAAAAGUUAUGAUUUAUGCAUUUUAUUCUGGGGUUGAUCAUAUGAUAAAAUAUUCCUGUACUUUACAGUUGAGAGAAUGAUAAAUAUUCUUUUCGCAGAAGUGUGUAAAUAUAUAUACUGUAUUUUGUUAUUAUAUUAAAUCAUAGGUAGGUGUUUCGCCCUGGUGUCUGAGCAUUAUUGAGAAACCAGGAAUUCCACUUCUUAUUUAAUGUUUGAGAAGUAACUGCAGUGGGUCAUGUAACUGCAAUGGAUGAUGUGAAUGUUCCCAUCAAUAGAAACUGUCCAACAAAUCACAUCAUAACCCCUAGGAAAUAUCUUAGAUCUCAAACACAUUCUUUCUCUAUAAAUAAGGUUACUAAAAAACACUCAUGGGCAUUAUAGGGGUAGAUUUUGGCAGAAGGGGCUUAGAGCAAUAAGUAUUUUGUCACAUAAUAGCAAGUUUCCUUGAUACUAUUACAUAGAAAAAAAAUCCUGCACAAGUAAAUGAAAACACUUUAUUCAUCAACGUGCCAUUAAAACCCCAUCUAAUGCUGACUUCUUGGAUCACCUGUAACUGCCUGUUCAUUGAGUCCAACCCAUACUUUCUCCAUGGGAACCAUAAACCUCAGGACUGGUAAUAUAUAUUGAGUAAUGCCACAAUUCCUAAGCAGCAUACAGAAAUCGAAAUGCUUUAUUUUUAUUUAAAACCCUGCAAGGAGGUGACCAGCCAAUGCCAAUAUAAGGCCACCCUUCAUUACCUUCAACCACUGUGAGGUCAAUAUAUUGUGUCCACCUUGCUCAAGGUCACAUUGACUGCUGGCCAUGCUCUGGCCAAGCUCCUUCUGUGGCUUACAUUUUUUUAAAGUCACUAUAGACUGAGACCAAGUGAAACCAUGGUUGAUAAAAGUAUAAAGGCUUCUAGAAAUAUUGUAAAUUGCAAAUGCAUUUAUCACCAAUAACAAAAUGACGCAACCCCCCCUCCACUUUUUGAUAGAUCAAUGGUGCGUUUUCUGUAGGACCUCACACUAUAUUUUUGCUGCAUCUGUGUAAAUGAAUGUGAGAAGGGGAGUAGGAGGAUUUCUACAUAACAGGUCCACGCUGGAGCUUAGCAUAUUUUUCUAAGAGCGGUUGCACCUUUAGAUGAUGGGCCCUGUAUAUAGUGGUAAAGCCGUGAUUAUACUGCAAUUUGUCGAGGGGCCUUGCCGGGCCUGCGGUGAACCAGCACCACCAGUGCAGGAAAGUGGACAAGGUGAGGGUGCGGUAAAUAUAACACUGGACCCUGUAUAUAGUGGUAAAUAUAAACCCAGACAUCUGCCAGCAUCCUGUAAGGCUUAUCCACCACUGUAAAUAUAACAAAUACAUAGAACAAUAGACUGGAAAUUAAUUUCUUUCUAUUACUGGAUGUGGAUACUAACCUCCUUUGUAUUAAAGAGUCGUGUCAUUGUGUUUAGUUUUUUUUUUUAUUAUUAUUCCUAUUGCUUUAUCUUUUUACGUUUCGUUUUGGAUAAAAAUCUCACUUUUUUAAAUUUUAAGAUACUUAUUAUGGAACCUAUGAUCUCACGUAAACUACACUAAGUUCUGCAUGACAUCACAGUGGAGGGUUUUGCGUAAUGACAUAAAAAAAAAGAAAGUGUCCUCAAGUCGAUGGUGGCUCUUCACUUCGUGUUCUAAGCCAAAAAAGAAAAAUCCUCGACUCUGCUGCUUGGAUUUAUUCAGUCACAACAACAACAAAGCUCUGCUGUUUAGCCGAUGUUUCCAAAUGUUUAGUGUCUUCUGUUUCUUUAAAUUAAAAAAAAAAAAGGUUGUUUGACAAUGUCAAGCAAGUUGUAAUAGAUUUUGUGCAAAGGAAAUUAAAAAAAAAAAUAGAAAAAAAGUGUGUUGUAAGAAAACACUGAGCCUUAUGAGAAAAAAAAAUAUUUAUGGAACUAAAAAAAAUGGAUAAAGGCAUUUUUAAAGUAUUUUUAAAUAUUUUAUUUAUGUAAAAACCAAGUGUUGGAUCUUAUUGCUCUGAAAACAAUGCAUCCUGAAAUGUUUUUUAAAUGUCACUAAUAGGCCAGCUUUUGUACAAAAUAAACUGUUUCUUCAUCUGU